CCGGCGCACGGGUGAGUAACACGUAUCCAACCUGCCGUCUACUCUUGGACAGCCUUCUGAAGGAAGAUUAAUACAAGAUGGCAUCAUGAGUCCACACGUUCACAUGAUUAAAGGUAUUCCGGUAGACGAUGGGGAUGCGUUCCAUUAGAUAGUAGGCGGGGUAACGGCCCACCUAGUCUUCGAUGGAUAGGGGUUCUGAGAGGAAGGUCCCCCACAUUGGAACUGAGACACGGUCCAA
rnacentral:rRNA from 1 species